UCAACAGUGUGGCAUCAUGGUUUGAACGCUGGACUAAAACUCCAGAGACCAGGGUUCAAUUCCCUGCUUGAC